UACGGAGGAUGCAAGCGUUAUCCGGAAUUAUUGGGCGUAAAGCGUCCGCAGGUGGUUGAACAAGUCUGCUGUCAAAGCGCGGAGCUUAACUCCGUACAGGCGGUGGAAACUGCUGAACUGGAGUACGGUAGGGGUAGCGGGAAUUCCCAGUGUAGCGGUGAAAUGCGUAGAUAUUGGGAAGAACACCGGUGGCGAAGGCGGCAUCCUGGACCGACACUGACGCUGAGGCGCGAAAGCCAGGGGAGCAAACGGG
rnacentral:rRNA from 1 species